rnacentral:lncRNA from 1 species
ACUUGGCCUCAUCGUCAACAUAAAUUUCCAUUGGCUGAAAGGAAUAAAGGUUAUAGUAAAGGAUAUUAGGAGCUUCGUGAGCUAACGGAAUCUGAUAACGAAAUGAACGAUGGAUGAAGAUCUUCCAUCUGUGAAUUUUCUCCUUGCAGCUUAGAGUAAAAGCACCCAACUAGUCCCCAUUCUUGCUCAAUGUGUUUAUACAGCGCUUAUCAAAAAAGCUUCCGUUAGAACUCCAACCAUCAAACCACAGGUUAUCCCAUUUCAACUAAGACCUUCCCACCCCUCUUGACA